UCUCUUAAUCGAUACUUAUCAUCGUUUGAGAUUUCAAAAUUUCGCUUGAGUAUUUUCAAAAUAAGGAUGGAUAUACUAAAAUUGAAAGAUAAAGAGAUAACAUAGUGAUAAGUUUGAAAGUUGGUGAGACUUAAGUCAUGUGGGUAAAGUUAAGGUUCCAGAAGUUAGAGCAUUUGAGUUCUAAUCUCUCUAUUCCGGUAUUCCUUUCCCACUUCUUAAAUUUCAUUCCUUUCCUGUUGGAAAAAAAAAAAA
rnacentral:lncRNA from 1 species